UUGUAAGAAUGAUAGUUGCUGUGCUGAUGUUACACUGAAUAUAAUACUGGAAUUAUCAGAAUCAGAUACAAGUUUGAAGUAUCCAAUCCAGAACUACAGCAUAUCAUACCAUUCCAUUACUGAAAAUAUACCAGUAACAUAUAAAUUUCGUGCAACAGUGUUAAUGCCUGGAGUAGUACUAAAAUACAAUGAGGCCUAUUGCCUUACAGUUACACCAAUGAAUAAUUUCAGCACAGGAGAGCCAAAAAAUGUUAGCAUAACGAUUGAUGAAUAUCCAUGUCCAUCAUCAGAAAAUACUGAAAAUGGUGGCUUAAGUGCAGGAGCAGUGGCCGGAAUUGUCAUUGGAGCCAUAGCUAUCAUAUUUACACUAAUUUUAGUAGCUACCAUAUAUUAGCUAUAUACAAAUACAGAUAAAUAAUAUUAUUUUAUUUAAGUAAUUUUUAAAUUUAUUAUGUACUAAGAGUACAUCAUAUGUAAAAAA